rnacentral:rRNA from 1 species
UACGUAGGGCGCAAGCGUUAUCCGGAAUUAUUGGGCGUAAAGAGCUCGUAGGCGGUUUGUCGCGUCUGCCGUGAAAGUCCGGGGCUCAACUCCGGAUCUGCGGUGGGUACGGGCAGACUAGAGUGCAGUAGGGGAGACUGGAAUUCCUGGUGUAGCGGUGAAAUGCGCAGAUAUCAGGAGGAACACCGAUGGCGAAGGCAGAUCUCUGGGCCGUAACUGACGCUGAGGAGCGAAAGCGUGGGGAGCGAACAGG